rnacentral:rRNA from 1 species
UGGGGAAUUUUGGUCAAUGGGGGAAACCCUGAUCAAGCCAUCCCGCGUGUGCGAUGAAGGCCUUCGGGUUGUAAAGCACUUUUGGCAGGAAAGAAACGUCAUGGGUUAAUACCCCGUGAAACUGACGGUACCUGCAGAAUAAGCACCGGCUAACUACGUGCCAGCAGCCGCGGUAAUACGUAGGGUGCAAGCGUUAAUCGGAAUUACUGGUCGUAAAGCGUGCGCAGGCGGUUCGGAAAGAAAGAUGUGAAAUCCGAGAGCUCAACUGUGGAACUGCAUUUUUAACAACCGGACUAGAGUGUGUCAGAGGGAGGUGGAAUUCCGCGUGUAGCAGUGAAAGGCGUAGAUAUGCGGAGGAACACCGAUGGCGAAGGCAGCCUCCUGGGAUAACACUGACGCUCAUGCACGAAAGCGUGGGGAGCAAACAGG